rnacentral:rRNA from 1 species
GACAGAGGUCCCGAGCGUUAGGCGGAAUCACUGGGCUUAAAGCGUGUGUAGGCGGAUCGUUAAGUGCCUUGUGAAAUCCCAUGGCUUAACCAUGGAACUGCUUGGCAUACUGGCGGUCUUGAGCCACUUAGGGGCAACCGGAACAAAUGGUGGAGCGGUGAAAUGCGUAGAUAUCAGGAGGAACACCGGUGGCGAAGGCGGAUCUCUGGGCCAUUACUGACGCUGAGGAGCGAAAGCGUGGGGAGCGAACAGG